rnacentral:misc_RNA from 1 species
UCAACGACAGCGCACGGCCCUCGUAGGCAUGCCUAUUGGCCAAGUAAACAGUUUUUGGCGCGCAUUUUAAUCGACAUAUGCAUGUAGUUCUGUUGUUGCUGUUCUUGUCCCCAUUCCUAAUUUGUAGCCUACAUUUUUACAAAAUAAUACGACAAGAAGUGACACUUGGAGAUUGAGUGACUUGCUAUUUUUGUCUGUAUUUUUGUUAACGUUUACGUUUGUGUGUGUUUGUGUGUGUGUGUACUCGAAACAUUUCGCGUUAUCAGAACAACAUGUAAAUCCUUAUCAAUGGCGUCGAGCAGCAGGCUUAAAUACCGUUACGAAUCGCUUGGCUCUGCCGCCGCACAACUUCAUUGGCUGAAUUGCCUUAUACGGCUCUGCCUGUUUAUCAAAGUUGCUAAGCUGGCUGCAUACGCCGAGGAGGUCAGCAGCGGGACUGGCAUCUCGGAAGAAUGGGGCUCUGGUUGGAAAGGCGGCACCAACUUUCUUGUGGAAGUCGAGGAAACAGCUGUCAUGUCACCGAAUGUCGCACGUGGCAGCAGCAACACAUCCGAGGAUUACAUCGCUGAACUAGCCAACAGCCGAGAGAUAGACCCCACUGGCGCAACCAUCUCUGCAAAUGACACAAAAAUUGAAACGGGACCCAAGAUCAUAGUGCGCACCGAGGAGGUGCUGAUUGUUGGACUCGUUCUUAUGCUCUGGGUGGGUGCAAUAAUGCUCUUCUUCAAUCGCUGGGGCAAGAUACGCAUGCUGGAACCCUAUCAGCCAAAGUUCCAGCAACAGCAUCGCAGCUCCUGUCCCUUGGUCGAAUUGGACGCAGUGACAACGCAUCAGCGCACCUCCGUUUCACGCAUGUCGAUGGGAAUGGUGCAUAAUCAUGCUCUGAAUAUGCCAACGUGUCAUUUUGCGGCCUAUAACCCGAGUAUUUAUGCAAAGGGCUACGCAUCGCAUGUCUCGAACGCUUCAAGGCCUCGCCAGAAUUCAGUCUUCGUUGGAGCCAGCACGAGUCACUAUUUGAUGCCGAGAGCGCCCCGAAAGACGCGCUCCGCCAUGGAUCUGCACUCGAUGGUGUUGGAUGAGAGCGCCGAGCAGGUUUAGAUACAUUCAAGAGAGAUGAGUUGAGUCCGAAUGUGUGUGAAUGUGUGAAUGAGUGAGUGUAUUUGUAUUGAGUGUGAGAGUGCACAAUGAAUGGGAAAUAAGUCAGUGAGUAAGUAAGCAGAAGAUGAUCAAGAAGCAUUGAAUAUAGAUUGACAAUUGAUAAGAACAACAACACUGUCCAACAAAUUGCAACAACUACUAUUUACAACGUGUUUUUAAACUCAAAACUACGCAUUACUUAAGCGAGACAGCUAACAUCUACCACAUCUCCUCUCCGAUCCUCUCCUCUCACUCUCGCUCUCCCUCUCUCUAUUAAUUGUUCUCUCUCUCUCUCGCUCUUAUUUGAUCGCUGUCUCUACUAAGUGGCUGUUGUAUCUAUCGUAAUACAAUUUAGUCGUCAUCCAUUCAAUGGAAUCCCAAAACAUAUUUCUCCAAUUGGAAUCACAUGAGGCACGUAGCAGUUCACUUCUGUUCGAGCAACGAAUGCUGAUUGCUAUAAAACUGAACGGUUUACAUUUUCGCUAGGCAGCUUUUGUCAGCCAUGCGCUAAAUAAAUACAUAUAUAUUUUAUAGUAUUAUUAACUAGUAAAUAUCUAAAAUCUAUUCUAUUCUAUAAAUAUAUGCUCGUAACAGUCUCCCAGCUGGUAACUACCACACACAAAUUGAUUUCGUUAUAUCCACAAAUAAGAAUAUACCUAAAUGUUUACUUAGUAUUACAAAUGAAUAUAGCUGGUUCUGCAAAUAGUUUUGUUGCAAAAAAAAAACAAAAUAAUAAUAAAAAAAAAAACAAUAAGCAUAAGCUCAAAAUAUCCCAAAUACGAGUACAUAUUACGCUAUAUCCUAAAUAUAGAUAUUAGAUUUCAUUGACGCGAUCAGCUUGAGUCCAAUGGGAAACGGAAUAGAUCGAGAAUAUUAACAGAAUAAUGCUGAAAUUAUGUUAAAUUAAAAUCAAAAUUGAUGAUUGAUGAUUGAUGCUUGAUGUCACUCUGUGUGAAUCCGUCAUAAGGAGCAGAAUGGGAGAGACAUAAAUUAUAACGAGUCAAACAGACGGAAAUGACUCCAACGAACAAAGGUAAGGAAAUCUGAGCUCCAACGAAUGGAUUGAAGGAGAAUGGGACUCACUCGAAUCAAAGGAAUAAAACAAACACGGUGAACUGUUUGUUCGUACGCCAAAUUAUAAACAAAUAAGCCCAAUUCGUUCAAUUAAACUGCAACGCGCAACUUUUUCGUUUAAACUUCAAUUUGGUAGGCUUGGGAGAUUUUAUUUUUAUUGAUCUAUUUAUUCAGGCUUAAAACAGGCUUGUUUUUUGCGCUUUUGCGUAUAUGCAAAUGCUACAAGCCGUUUGAAUGUCUUAAAAGUCAAUUUGACCCCCUCUGCUUCACAGAGGUGUUGCCUUCAUUUGCAUAGUGCAUAGAUUGUAGAAAUAGAAAUAUGGUAUCUUGUAUUUGUAUCUUAUAACCUUACUUAUAGCCUAUACCAUAAACUAUCUGGGCUCAACGGCUGCCCCUCAAUAUUCUCGUAGUUCAUUUUAUUGUCUUUCGCAUAGAGGCGUUACUCUUUCUAAAAAACUGUCUGUCUAUCUAUCUAUCAACAUAUACAUAUGUAUCUCUAUCUAUCUCUAUCUAUAACUACAUAUAUAGAAAUGAAGCUUAAGCACAUGUUAGAUGACGUAAUUUGUAAGUAACUGUGCUUACUUUCGACCAAGAACAAGAACCAGAACAAGAACAAGAACAACUACAACCAAAUGUAUGACUAACGAAAGCUUUAAACAAAUAAACAACCCAUCCAACUGAAUAAACUAAUGUUAUAUAAAUAUAUAUAUACACGAAUAUAUAUUUA